rnacentral:rRNA from 1 species
UGGUGAUUUAAUUCUAACUACACUUUUAUGUUAUAUAUACUAAGUAGUAAGCAUAAUUAUUAUAUAAAUAAUAAGUUAUAGAUAGUGUAGAUUGUCAGUAAAAUAAUGUGCCAGCAUUCGCGGUCACACAUUAUGACUUGAAUUUGUUGAAUAUUAAUUAAUAUAUAAUACUUUAUUAUAUAAAGAAUUCGGUAAAAUGAUUGCUUUAUAUUAAUUUAACUUAAUUACAAAAUGUUACAUCAAACUAGGAUUAGAUACCCUGCUAUGAACAUAGAAUUGAUUUGAGCGGAGUAAAGAUUAUUGAUCUUGAAAAGGUUAGCUGAGUGACGGUUAAGCUUACAAUUAGGGUUACCUGUGUUAGAAACGAAAUUGCACGAAUAUCUUUCCAAUCUUAGAAAUAAUCUUGCACACCGCCGUCGGAAGAAUUAUUUUAAUGAAUAUAUCUUUACAUUAAACAUUAAGUCAGGUCAAGGUGCAGACAAUAGAGUGGAUAACAUGUGUUAACUUGUUAAUUUUAUUAGUAUAAACUGAAAACUUUAUAUCUAUCAACUUAUAAGUAAAUUAAUUUAAUUAAAAUUAAUUGAAUGGGUUAAUCUUAAUGUACAAAUUGCCCGUCAUUCCAAUAAAGGAUAAGUCGAAACAUAGUUGGUCCACUGGAAAGUGGACCAGGAUUACC